UCAAUCCAAAAAUUAUAAACACUCAAUAAUAAAUGUAGUCUUCCAUUUCUCAAAAGUUUCAUAUCCUCUCCUAAAUACUUUUAACACUCUUUUCACCUACCAAAAACUUCCUUUCAAUAUCUUGUAUUUUUUUUAUAUAUAUUCCGAUGCAUUAAUAUUUUUCUUAUUGGAAAAAAAACACAAUAACCCAUUUAUAUGUAUAAACCCAUUACAUAAUUCC
rnacentral:lncRNA from 1 species